rnacentral:rRNA from 1 species
AACGUAGGUGGCGAGCGUUAUCCGGAUUUACUGGGCGUAAAGGGUGUGCAGGCGGGCUGGUAAGUGGUGUAUGAAAUAUCCCGGCUCAACCGGGAAGGGUUAUGCCAGACUGGCAGUCUAGAGAGCGAGAGAGGGACGUGGAAUUCCGGGUGUAGUGGUGAAAUGCGUAGAGAUCCGGAGGAACCCCAGAGGCGAAGGCGGCGUCCUGGCUCGCAUCUGACGCUCAGACACGACAGCAUGGGGAGCGAACGGG